UAUCGGGAUAGGACUAAGACAUGCUAGUUGAGCGCUUCCAGCCAAAACGGGAGCGCAGCGCACAGCUCAGUAACACGUGGCUAAUCUGCCCUUGGGACCGGAACACCCCCGGGAAACUGGGGCUAAUUCUCGAUAGGUGAAGAACUCUGGAAUGAGUCUUUGCCAAAAAGACGUUUACGUUAUGCUCGUAGACGUCGCCCAAGGAUGAGGCCGCGACCGACCAGGUUGUUGGUGAGGUAAUGGCUCACCAAGCCUUUUACCGGUGCGGGCCGUGAGAGCGGGAGCCCGGAGAUGGGCACUGAGACAAGGGCCCAGGCCCUACGGGGCGCAGCAGUCGCGAAAACUUUGCAAUACACGAAAGUGUGACAGGGCUAUCCCGAGUGCCAUCCGCUGAGGAAGGCUUUUACCCAGUCUAGAACGCUGGGGGAAUAAGGAGAGGGCAAGUCU
rnacentral:rRNA from 1 species